CUCUGGAGACAUGCCAAGGGACUCCAAAAGGCCACAGAGGAUUUCAACUAAAAUCCAAAAGCCACAGAGAGGUUUCCUGACAACACACCAUGGAAAAAAAGCCUCUACUCGCUCACCACUGCCACUACCUCAGCUGAGGUUACUGUGUUUGUGCAUCAACCCAGACUCUUCACAUUGAGGGGAAAAUGGAAUGAGAAAUUGCAGAGUUGAUGUUGAGUGGAACAGAGAGCAAAUAAAGACAAGACACAAAACAACACGCCUAUGGAGCAAUCUGUGGAAGUGGCAGAUGUGUUGAGGUCACAUGAAACGAUGCUGACGUCUGUUUCCCCCUCCUCGUGUCUGCUCACGAGGACCUUAGCUAUAGUUACAAAUGAUUGAAAUCUGGAGAUUAAAUGUCAGCGUCGGUUGGCUGCCCAAUACAAAUGGUUUUAUAUGUCGAGAACCUGGACACCAACAUGUAUUAGAGUGGGAAGAAAGGUAGAAUUGACCUGGAAUGAAAAGAUGCAACACACUUUCAACUUAAAAAAAAAGAAGAAAAACCCUGUACAAUGG